CCGAGCGUCAUACAACCAAUCCCCUCGGGGGUAUUGGACCCUGCCGGCGACGGCCGGUCCUAAAUCCAGUGGCGGCAUCGCACGCACUCGAGCGUAGUAGCUUUAUCUCGCUUGGAGGCGCGUGCGAUCUUGACCAGCAAACCUCACAUACGUGUUUAUAGGUGGACCUCGGAUCAGGUAGGAAUACCCGCUGAACUUAA
rnacentral:misc_RNA from 1 species